rnacentral:rRNA from 1 species
UACGGGGGGGGGUAAGCGUUGUUCGGAAUUACUGGGCGUAAAGGGCUCGUAGGCGGCCAACUAAGUCAGACGUGAAAUCCCUCAGCUUAACUGGGGAACUGCGUCUGAUACUGGAUGGCUUGGAUUUGGGAGAGGGAUGCGGAAUUCCAGGUGUAGCGGUGAAAUGCGCAGAUAUCAGGAGGAACACCGGUGGCGAAGGCGGGUCUCUGGGCCGAUACUGACGCUGAGGAGCGAAAGCGUGGGGAGCGAACAGG